rnacentral:rRNA from 1 species
CCUACGGGAGGCAGCAGUGAGGAAUAUUGGUCAAUGGGCGAGAGCCUGAACCAGCCAAGUCGCGUGAAGGAUGACUGCCCUAUGGGUUGUAAACUUCUUUUGUAUGGGAAUAAAAUGUUCCACGUGUGGGAUUUUGUAUGUACCCUAUGAAUAAGGAUCGGCUAACUCCGUGCCAGCAGCCGCGGUAAUACGGAGGAUCCGAGCGUUAUCCGGAUUUAUUGGGUUUAAAGGGAGCGUAGGUGGAUUGUUAAGUCAGUUGUGAAAGUUUGGGGAUCAACCUUAAACGUGCCGUUGAAACUGGCAGUCUUGAGUACACGAGAGGUGGGCGGAAUGCGUGGUGUAGCGGUGAAAUGCUUAGAUAUCACGAAGAACUCCGAUUGCGAAGGCAGCUUACCGGACUGCAACUGACACUGAGGCUCGAAAGCGUGGGUAUCAAACAGGAUUAGAUACCCGGGUAGUC